GGGGACCCUCUUGAAGACACAGGACAAAGUGAGAGCGGUUUGUCCUGCCGUAUCAGAUACGGGGAAGUAAAUCGAGCAGGAACCUUUGAUUAGCACCUUCCAAAGCAGCACACGGCAGGCUGUCUGUAACCUGUGUAUGUCGUCAAUAUAAACGAAGAUAACUGACUGGAGACAUCAUUUCUGAGGACAACACGAGCAACGUGAAAAUCUCACUGUUGGGGGA
rnacentral:lncRNA from 1 species